AGUCCCCAGCGCCAGACUGCAGCCAGAGACCAGAUCAUCUUAUUGUCCUGGUGAAAACAACGUUGACACUGCAACCAAAGCUACUGCAUGAAGGCCAGGACUUCAUCUCAAAAUCCGCCAUCAUGGAACCACGCAGGAUUUGAAAAAGCAAAAGACGCAGAGGGUUUUUGUAAGCCAAAAUGAAGUCAGGUGCAUCAGGCUCCCCGUCCCUCCCUGAGCUGCAUCAGCCACGCUGUGAAGUGUGAAGGAGGAUUGAGAGGAGCUCCAGCGGCGAAAAACGUUUUGAGCUGAUGCAACCCAAGUCCCUAGGAGACUUUCUGCAGAGAAUGUAACACAAGCGACUUGUCAAGAAAGUGAAGCACGAGUGGAGAUCUUUGUGCUUCCUUCACUAGCUCACUUGCAAAACCCUGCUACCUAACCGUUGUCUAAACACUUGUGGAAAUCAGAUCAUUA